AUUGAACGCUGGCGGCAGGCUUAACACAUGCAAGUCGAGCGGAGAGAGGUAGCUUGCUACUGAUCUUAGCGGCGGACGGGUGAGUAAUGCUUAGGAAUCUGCCUAUUAGUGGGGGACAACAUUUCGAAAGGAAUGCUAAUACCGCAUACGUCCUACGGGAGAAAGCAGGGGAUCUUCGGACCUUGCGCUAAUAGAUGAGCCUAAGUCGGAUUAGCUAGUUGGUGGGGUAAAGGCCUACCAAGGCGACGAUCUGUAGCGGGUCUGAGAGGAUGAUCCGCCACACUGGGACUGAGACACGGCCCAGACUCCUACGGGAGGCAGCAGUGGGGAAUAUUGGACAAUGGGCGGAAGCCUGAUCCAGCCAUGCCGCGUGUGUGAAGAAGGCCUUAUGGUUGUAAAGCACUUUAAGCGAGGAGGAGGCUACUUUAGUUAAUACCUAGAGAUAGUGGACGUUACUCGCAGAAUAAGCACCGGCUAACUCUGUGCCAGCCGCCGCCGUAAAAC
rnacentral:rRNA from 1 species